rnacentral:rRNA from 1 species
AUUGAACGCUGGCGGCAGGCCUAACACAUGCAAGUCGAACGAGUGGCGGACGGGUGAGUAAUGUCUGGGAAACUGCCCGAUGGAGGGGGAUAACUACUGGAAACGGUAGCUAAUACCGCAUACCAUCGGAUGUGUCCAGAUGGGAUUAGCUAGUUGGUGGGGUAACGGCUCCACUAGGCGAAGAUCCCUAGCUGGUCUGAGAGGAUGACCGGCCACAGUGGAACUGAGACACUGUCCAGACUCCUACGGGCGGCAGAAGUGGGGAAUAUUGCACAAUGGGCGCAAGCCUGAUGCAGCCAUGCCGCGUGUAUUAAGAAGGCCUUAGGGUUGUAAAGUACUUUCAGCGAGGAGGCGUUACUCGCAGAAGAAGCACCGGCUAACUCCGUGCCAGCAGCCGCGGUAAUAC